rnacentral:tRNA from 1 species
UUUCCAUAGUGUAGUGGUUAUCACAAUCACCUUACACGCGAAAGAAAGUUCCCCAGAUUGAAAUCAAGUGGAAACA